AGGACGAACGCUGGCGGCGUGCUUAACACAUGCAAGUCGAGCGGUAAGGCCUUUCGGGGUACACGAGCGGCGAACGGGUGAGUAACACGUGGGUGAUCUGCCCUGCACUCUGGGAUAAGCCUGGGAAACUGGGUCUAAUACCGGAUAUGACCUGCUCUCGCAUGGGGGUGGGUGGAAAGAUUUAUCGGUGCAGGAUGGGCCCGCGGCCUAUCAGCUUGUUGGUGGGUAAUGGCCUACCAAGGCGACGAC
rnacentral:rRNA from 1 species